GUGGCAGGGGCGGCGGUAAAACCAGCACCUCAAGUGGUCAGGAUGAUUAUUGGGCCUAAAGCAUCCGUAGCCGGCUCUGUAAGUUUUCGGUUAAAUCUGUAUGCUCAACAUACAGGCUGCCGGGAAUACUGCAGAGCUAGGGAGUGGGAGAGGUAGACGGUACUCGGUAGGAAGGGGUAAAAUCCUUUGAUCUAUUGAUGACCACCUGUGGCGAAGGCGGUCUACCAGAACACGUCCGACGGUGAGGGAUGAAAGCUGGGGGAGCAAACCGGAUUAGAUACCCGGGUAGUCCCAGCUGUAAACUAUGCAAACUCAGUGAUGCAUUGGCUUGUGGCCAAUGCAGUGCUGCAGGGAAGCCGUUAAGUUUGCCGCCUGGGAAGUACGUACGCAAGUAUGAAACUUAAAGGAAUUGGCGGGGGAGCACCACAAGGGGUGAAGCCUGCGGUUCAAUUGGAGUCAACGCCAGAAAUCUUACCCGGAGAGACAGCAGAAUGAAGGUCAAGCUGAAGACUUUACCAGACAAGCUGAGAGGUGGUGCAUGGCCGUCGCCAGCUCGUGCCGUGAGAUGUCCUGUUAAGUCAGGUAACGAGCGAGAUCCCUGCCUCUAGUUGCCACCAUUAUUCUCAGGAAUCGUGGGGCGAAUUAGCGGGACCGCCGCAGUUAAUGCGGAGGAAGGAAGGGGCCACGGCAGGUCAGUAUGCCCCGAAACUCUGGGGCCACACGCGGGCUGCAAUGGUAACGACAAUGGGUUUCGAAUCCGAAAGGAUGAGGUAAUCCUCAAACGUUACCACAGUUAUGACUGAGGGCUGCAACUCGCCCUCACGAAUAUGGAAUCCCUAGUAACUGCGUGUCAUUAUCGCGCGGUGAAUACGUCCCUGCUCCUUGCACACACCGCCCGUCGUUUCAUUGAAGUGAGCUUUUAGCGAGGUGACGUCUAAUUGGCGUUAUCGAACUUGAGGUUCGUGACAAGGGAAAAGUCGUAACAAGGUAACC
rnacentral:rRNA from 1 species